ACAACAACAUUCGGACCUUCGUUCUACCGAGCAAUAUCACCCGCUCGGUGGAAGAUCUUCCCUUUGUCGUAUAUU
rnacentral:pre_miRNA from 1 species